CCUACGGGCGGCUGCAGUGAGGAAUAUUGGUCAAUGGACGAGAGUCUGAACCAGCCAAGUAGCGUGAAGGAUGACUGCCCUAUGGGUUGUAAACUUCUUUUAUAAAGGAAUAAAACGAGGCACGUGUGCCUUUUUGCAUGUACUUUAUGAAUAAGGAUCGGCUAACUCCGUGCCAGCAGCCGCGGUAAUACGGAGGAUCCGAGCGUUAUCCGGAUUUAUUGGGUUUAAGGGAGCGUAGAUGGGUUGUUAAGUCAGUUGUGAAAGUGUGCGGCUCAACCGUAAAAUUGCAAUUGAUACUGGCAGUCUUGAGUACAGUUGAGGUAGGCGGAAUUCGUGGUGUAGCGGUGAAAUGCUUAGAUAUCACGAAGAACUCCGAUUGCGAAGGCAGCUUACUAAACUGCCACUGACAUUGAUGCUCGAAAGUGUGGGUAUCAAACAGGAUUAGAUACCCCUGUAGUC
rnacentral:rRNA from 1 species